CCCACAACUGCGGGCACCAGGAGGAUGCCGGCGCCAUCUGCUCAGGUGUCGAUGGCAGUCCGAAAGUAGGACCAACAGACUCGGCUGGUGACAGCCCCAC